rnacentral:rRNA from 1 species
GACGAACGCUGGCGGCGUGCUUAACACAUGCAAGUCGAACGGAAAGGCCCUGCUUUUGUGGGGUGCUCGAGUGGCGAACGGGUGAGUAACACGUGAGUAACCUGCCCUUGACUUUGGGAUAACUUCAGGAAACUGGGGCUAAUACCGGAUAGGAGCUCCUGCUGCAUGGUGGGGGUUGGAAAUUUUCGGCGGUUGGGGAUGGACUCGCGGCUUAUCAGCUUGUUGGUGGGGUAGUGGCUUACCAAGGCUUUGACGGGUAGCCGGCCUGAGAGGGUGGCCGGCCACAUUGGGACUGAGAUACGGCGCAGACUCCUACGGGAGGCAGCAGUGGGGAAUAUUGCACAAUGGGCGGAAGCCUGAUGCAGCAACGCCGCGUGCGGGAUGACGGCCUUCGGGUUGUAAACCGCUUUCGCCUGUGACGAAGCGUGAGUGACGGUAAUGGGUAAAGAAGCACCGGCUAACUACGUG